rnacentral:rRNA from 2 species
UCUCCUGGAAAACGGGUGGUAAUGCCGGAUGCUCCGACUCCUCGCAUGGGGUGUCGGGAAAGAUUUCAUCGGUAUGGGAUGGGGUCGCGUCCUAUCAGGUAGUCGGCGGGGUAACGGCCCACCGAGCCUACGACGGGUAGCCGGCCUGAGAGGGCGACCGGCCACAUUGGGACUGAGAUACGGCCCAGACUCCUACGGGAGGCAGCAGUGGGGAAUAUUGCACAAUGGGCGCAAGCCUGAUGCAGCGACGCCGCGUGCGGGAUGACGGCCUUCGGGUUGUAAACCGCUUUUGAUCGGGAGCAAGCCUUCGGGUGAGUGUACCUUUCGAAUAAGCACCGGCUAACUACGUGCCAGCAGCCGCGGUAAUACGUAGGGUGCAAGCGUUAUCCGGAAUUAUUGGGCGUAAAGGGCUCGUAGGCGGUUCGUCGCGUCCGGUGUGAAAGUCCAUCGCUUAACGGUGGAUCUGCGCCGGGUACGGGCGGGCUGGAGUGCGGUAGGGGAGACUGGAAUUCCCGGUGUAACGGUGGAAUGUGUAGAUAUCG